GAGGAGGCUCAAUAUCUCACUGGUACAUGCCUGGACUGUGGUGGAGAGAGGACAGAGAGCCCCCGGUGGCGUUGGGAAAUACAGUCCGCUAAUGUGACAGGAAAUAAGACUGAGGAUGCAGGAGUGGAAGGGGACAGACCCAGAGGCAGGUCCCAGCUUCAGAGAGGAGGUCUUUCCUACCUAUGCCGUUCCUGAAGAUGGUGAUGGUCUGUGGAGCAUCUGGGAUAAAAAGAUAUAAACUUGGCUUCAGCAGUGAGGAGUGAGAUGGG
rnacentral:lncRNA from 1 species